GCGCCUGGCGGCCGAGUCAAGCCGCCGCCUCGACCCAGGGCCCGCGGGCCAGGAGAGCGCUCGGCGGCUUCAUGGCGGCUGAAGAGAUGCAUUGGCCUGUCCCUAUGAAGGCCAUUGGUGCCCAGAACCUGCUAACCAUGCCUGGGGGCGUGGCCAAGGCUGGCUACCUGCACAAGAAGGGCGGUACCCAGCUGCAGCUGCUGAAAUGGCCCCUGCGCUUUGUCAUCAUCCACAAACGCUGCGUCUACUACUUCAAGAGCAGCACCUCCGCCUCCCCGCAGGGCGCCUUCUCCCUGAGUGGUUAUAACCGGGUGAUGCGGGCGGCUGAGGAGACCACGUCCAACAACGUUUUCCCCUUCAAGAUCAUCCACAUCAGCAAGAAGCACCGCACGUGGUUCUUCUCGGCCUCCUCCGAGGAGGAGCGCAAGGUGACUGGGGGUCCAAGGACGAGUGCAAGGUGACUGGGGGUGUGGGCCUGCAGGCACCAGGCUGGACCUGCCUUGGGGGCUCGCUGGUCCUGGGGCGCUGGCCUCUCAGUCCCGGGCAAAGAGAAGGUGUGGCUGGGACACAGGCAGCUGGGUGGGUGCUGCCCCAGCUCCAUCCCCAUGCCCAGAG
rnacentral:sRNA from 1 species